GACGAACGCUGGCGGCGUGCUUAACACAUGCAAGUCGUACGGUAAGGCCCUUUCGGGGGUCCACGAGUGGCGAACGGGUGAGUAACACGUGAGUAACCUGCCCACAACUUUGGGAUAACGCUAGGAAACUGGUGCUAAUACUGGAUAUGUGCUCCUGCUGCAUGGUGGGGGUUGGAAAGCUCCGGCGGUUGUGGAUGGACUCGCGGCCUAUCAGCUUGUUGGUGGGGUAGUGGCCUACCAAGGCGGCGACGGGUAGCCGGCCUGAGAGGGUGACCGGCCACAUUGGGACUGAGAUACGGCCCAGACUCCUACGGGAGGCAGCAGUGGGGAAGAUUGCACAAUGGGCGCAAGCCUGAUGCAGCAACGCCGCGUGCGGGAUGACGGCCUUCGGGUUGGAAACCGCUUUCAGCAGGGACGAAGCUUUUUGUGACGGUACCUGCAGAAGAAGCACCGGCUAACUACGUG
rnacentral:rRNA from 1 species